CAUGAAGCUGGAAUCGCUAGUAAUCGCGGAUCAGAAUGCCGCGGUGAAUACGUUCCCGGGUCUUGUACACACCGCCCGUCACACCAUGGGAGUCGGAAAUGCCCGAAGUCUGUGACCCAACCGUAAGGAGGGAGCAGCCGAAGGCAGGUCGGAUGACUGGGGUGAAGUCGUAACAAGGUACC
rnacentral:rRNA from 1 species